UGUGUGCAUCUGUGUUUCUAACCCAGCUACAGCAGUCAAAAAUGUCAUUAUAAACAAAUAUUAAACCUUUUGGUCUCAUUUUAUGUCUCAACGUGGAUCUAUUAUGUUAUUUCUCCUAGCUUAUGCUGACAGCGCUGAAGUUUCUUCUGUUGUUUAUCCCAGGCAGAUCUGCUCCUCCUUUGCAGCACUGAGCCACAAAGCCUUUGCUAUGUAGAAACAGCAGACAUCGAUGGGUAUCUUGUAGUGGGAAGAACCAAAAGGUAACUUGCAUUCUUUCAAGGGUGAGUUCCUUUGGAAAGGAGACCGCCACCUUCUGGACACAGGCCACCUGCUCCUCCGAGAAACUGUGCUGCGAAAUAGCCUAUGGACUGGCCAUAUACACAGGAGCAUCACCAAAUGCUUACAGUACCCCUGAGGUUUGGCUGACCACAGGCAUUGCUGUCCUUCCCUCAAUAACCAUACGGGCCUUAGAUGUUGUACUUACAACCCCCAACAGACAUAAGGUUGAUCCCUACUUUCCUUACCACAAAUCCUUUUGUCACAAUUAGCAUAUAAGACGUUUUUUUUUUUUUUUGUUAUGUAUUAUUUGUGCUUACCAUAUUUUCCCUUUGUAUAUGCAUGCAGAUCCACAGCUGGAAUGAGUCUGUUGACCUGAAGUCUUUGUUUCAGAGAGGUAGCCUAUAGCAUCGUUCAUCCCAUGCAGUGUCCCAAGGGAAAGGUUUUGGAAAGUUAAUCACCACAGGAGUUGAGCUUCUCUCUAUGGUGCCCCCACAGGAUAGGAGGGUUACAGCAGACGGUGUGAAGAAAGAAUCUCCACAGGGUUCACGAAUAGAAUUGAAUAGUGGUGAUGUGUUAUGCUAGCAUCUUCAGUGUGUUUUUUUCAUACACUGAAAAUGUAAUAUAAUUUCAAUAUAUAUUAUUUUUCUUUUAUUGCUGCAGUCAAAUCCAGGCUAAAUGAAUAAACAGACAAUAGCACGAAAAUUUUCAACAAUGGUUUUAUUUUAUUUCAAAACACGCAAUUUACCCAUAUUACCUUUUUUUCUGUAACAGUUAUUACUCCAAUUUGUCUCCUUCUUGCACCGAAUGAAAAGUGCUCAACGGGCUAUCUGGCUCCCCCUGUUGGACAGGAAGAGGAAUGAGGCUCUCCGCAAUAACAUGCCUUUUAACCUUUAACAGCUGCCUGAGAACAAGUUUGUGUGUGAAUGUGAAGCUUCAGUGGGAUAUUAAAAUUGGCAAAAUUUUGUCCAGAAGAUUUUAAACGCAGACAGGUGUUUUCUCCUUAAUAGCUCCUGAACUAGAACUUGACAUUGAACUUGAAUACUAAAAUUCAUGAAAGGGAAAUCCUUGCACCUAUCAAAUUUAGUCAGCAACAGCUUCAGAAACACCCACUGAUUGUUUUUUAUGGAUUGUCUUUACCCUUGGAUCAAUCUUUGGUUUGGGUAGAUGUGCUCUACAGAGAGUUUAUGUGCAUGUCAUUGUUUACAUUUAGAGCUUUUGACUUUGCACACACUCUUCAGUAUAUACUGUGUUUCAGUGUAAAGUAAUCUGGGCUAAUUUGCUCCACUGUUAAAUUCCCUGCUUAAACACUUCAACCAGCACAAGAUGUUAAGAUAGGUUAGCUUAUCAUCUAGUUGGUCAUUCAACCUGCCAAGUCCCCAAGAAAUUUAUAAAAACCAACAAACAAGAUUUUCUAAUCCCAGUCAAGUAAAGGCUGGUUACAGAAAGCAGGUAAAGUUUCAAGUAUUCUGAUGUAUAAUUGGUGCAGGUUUUCCUGAACAUCAUCCUGGUGACUAAAGUGGAUUUUGAGCAACUGGAAAGAGCCUAAACCAUGCAGUCACAUCGAUUAAGACUGAGGUAAAGGCUUUUCUUUUCUUUGUAUUUUUGCAUAGUUCUCUGUGCAAAGACGACCAGCCUCAGCAGCUCUUUAUUGAUUGGUUUGUGGUUAUUAGAGAACCGUGUUAGUGCAAACGUUAGCACUUGUCUGCGCUAGCUCUUUUCAAUUGGUCCAGCACUGUGGGAGUAGUUAGGUGAGAGAAAAAAUGUAGCUAGAUGCUAAAGUGAAUAUUAGUGUUAGCAUCAUGGUUACCAUUAAACUAUUACUUCUAUUGUCCAUUUUUGGUGGCUGAAAUUUUGUGGAAGUUAAAUCUUGAAAGAAUGCAUCUUUUCUAUGUGUUACUAUGAAAUGCUACUUUAAGAUUAUCGGGGAAUAGUUUUUGGAAAGUUAGCUAACGUAGCUCACCAUAAGCACCACAGCAAGCUAAAUAGGGCAGCUUCUUGCGACCACUGAGAGCCUCUUUCCUCCUUCCUUUCUCCUCAUCUCCUCCUCCUCUCAGCCCGUCUUCUCUAUAUCAUUUUUUCUCCUUGUUUUGAAACUGAUUGUCUUCUACCAUCACAAAGACACUUGGUUCUGAUUGAUUGACAGGUAACAGAAGAGGAAGAGCACAGUGUGACUAAGGGGGUUGGAUUUGCAGACAGACCCUAAGAGAAACAUGAUGUACGUGAUGCUGUUUUACAGUUGAUGAGAGAUCAUGACUGGUAGGAGGGGUCUGUUGCAAAAAAAAACAAAAAAAAAACAAAACUGUCUGGUAGCAUUCCUGUUUCACAUGAAAUGGUGUAAAACCCAAUUCGAGAAACACGCCACAUGUAAACAAAUGUACACAAGAUUACAUUUAAGAAGAGGAGACGUGUGGGUCCAUGACCAAGUUGAGUUGCCCAGGAUACAUGGUCAUGCCCUACUUUAAAGAGUUAUUUACAUAAAAGAAAUACAAGGAGGGCAGAGAGGGCUGUAACAAUACAUGCACACAACCAACGAAAAACAACAGUGACAGAAAAUUCUACAAAACAAAGACCCCUCCAACACUUUUACCACCCUUCCCACCCAUGUCCAACUUUCCCUGGGGUCUAUUCAUCCAAGUCACUCCCACCAAAUUCCAGGUCGGCCCAGCUUUACUUUAUACAGUAUACAAUAGUCAUGCAGAAAAAGUGUCCCCACCACUUCAAAUGGGAGGAGUUUGUCUUUUCAUAUUUUUUUUUUUUCAUAAUUAAUGCUAGGAGCACUCAACACAAUCAAGCUUUAAAUAAAGAAAAAGGAAAUGAACAUAGUUUAGUUUAAAUAACGCUUAAAUUGAAAUGAUUAGAAACUUGAUGCAUACAUUGAAAAUUCAGUGUACUGUGAUUUCGCUCUUUUCUGUCGUCGUCUUUCAAUUUUUGUUGUUGUUGCUUUCUUCCACUCUCAAAUCCUUUUCCUUUCUGUCAUAUCUAAACAUUCAAAUGUCUUUCUUUUAUAAAUAAUUAUUUACCGCAAUCAAACUAAAUCAUAAUAGUUGUAAUAAUGAUAAACAAUUGGCAAAUGAGUAAACCAAAAAACCAAACACCAACAAAAACAAUUUAACAGUAUAAAGCUUCAAGUCACAAGUUCAAAAACUAACUAUUAUUAGUCUUAGUAGUGUUAGUGUACUCAUUGUAAUUAGCAUUAGUUUAAUCUGCAUUACAUAAAAUUUACACAAAACAUUUGAGGUAUUUCAGAAUCAAUUGUCAACACCUUCCUGCCAAGUCCGUGUGGUUUCCAAUGGGAGAAAUAUAAGAGGGAACUGGUUCAGUGUUUCUCUUAAAAUGACCUCUUCUCCUGAAUCACUUGCAUUAUUUAAAUCGUUGAUAAUCAAAUUGUAAAAAACAGGCUUUUAUUCUAAACUUGUUCUGGACUAAAAUAUUAGCUUAAGAGAACCAAAUUGCUCAGAUUAAAAUCCUGUCUGGUAUUUUAGAAGUUGAUUUAUGAUAUAUCUUGAUUUAAAUUAGACAGUUAUCCUGAAAAUCGGCCAAAUGUGGGUACAGUACCUCGGCAUAUUAAGUGAAAUCAGGGUGAAUGUUUAAACACUGUGAGAUAUUUGCGAAUAUCUGCCAGUGCAAAUAAAAUAAUCUGGCCUCACUCUCAAGACAGGCAUAAUGCAAAAUAAAGCUGGCCGUUUUUAAAGUGCUCUCAGCACAAAUAAUUGCAGUUAAGUGACUGGAAAAACGAUAAAUAAAAUUAGCAUUAUAAAGUGCUGUAACACCAGUGUAUAUCAAACGAUAAAAUCGCCCCUUGCUUCCAUGUCUGUAUGCCUGCCUACUGUACAUUUGUAUAUUAAAGCGAUUGUGCAAGGUUCCGUUCACACAGAACGCGUUAAAAACGCGAGACUAUGCGCUUAGGAAUGGAAAAUAGCGCAUGGUCUCCAGACGCGUUUUUAAAACUAGGCACGGGCCUUAAAUCGCGCCGAUCCCGCGCGAGACACUGAAAAUGGCGCCAAGCGUGAAUCAACGGUCAAAACGUCAGUGUAGCGCGUCUUUACUUAGAAAAACGAAGAAAAAACGCGUUCUGUGUAUAACCUGACCAAGUGUGUGUGCUUCAGUUUGUGUAUAUCAGAGCAGUCCCACCCGUUGUUGAAGGAAAAAGGCACUCAACUCAAUCUGCAUAGCAGCCGCUUCCCUCAGUGCGGUGCUAUACAGUCUGACUGCACUUAUAUGUCACUUUGUAUGUGAAAAUUCAUUUGUAUGUGUUUACAGCUGUAACAGCUUUGGUUAUGCUAUUGGGCUUUUGGUGUUUGGUGUGUAUUCCUCCCUUUGGCAGCACAGGACUGGCAGGUCGAAGAAUCUUUGGUAUCAGUGGCUGUUUCACAAACCACCCAGCUCAGUGAGGUAGCCACACUGGUUCUCACUACAAACAAAAGGUCAGUUUUAUCAGCUAAUGUACAUAUAGAUGCCCAGUGAUUUGUGUAGCACAAAUCUGCUCUCCAGGCCCACAUGGAAUCUAUGGACAAAAUUUAUGUGAAAGAUUUUUGCACAGAAUUCGAAUGCCAGUCAUUUACAAAAUUCUGCACAUCUGCUGGCCACUGAAUGUUCAUUUAUUAAAAACUUGGCUAAUUUGAUUAUGCUUUCAGCUACACAUUGCACCAUGUUUGAAUUUAAUUCCGCUGAUUUUUCUCCUGAAAUUUUUGCAGAUUCCAUCUGGGCCUGCUUAUAGAUCAAUCCUCAAGAGCAUCGUCACAUUAAUAGUGCCCACUUUUAUCUGUCCAGCAAGUCCUGCAACAUUUCCAGUAAUGCUACUGUUGCAUUCAAACAC